rnacentral:rRNA from 1 species
AGUGAACGCUGGCGGUAGGCCUAACACAUGCAAGUCGAACGGCAGCACAGUAAGAGCUUGCUCUUACGGGUGGCGAGUGGCGGACGGGUGAGGAAUACAUCGGAAUCUACUUUUUCGUGGGGGAUAACGUAGGGAAACUUACGCUAAUACCGCAUACGACCUACGGGUGAAAGCAGGGGAUCUUCGGACCUUGCGCGAUUGAAUGAGCCGAUGUCGGAUUAGCUAGUUGGCGGGGUAAAGGCCCACCAAGGCGGCGAUCCGUAGCUGGUCUGAGAGGAUGGUCAGCCACACUGGAACUGAGACACGGUCCAGACUCCUACGGGAGGCAGCAGUGGGGAAUAUUGGGCAAUGGGCGCAAGCCUGAUCCAGCCAUACCGCGUGGGUGAAGAAGGCCUUCGGGUUGUAAAGCCCUUUUGUUGGGAAAGAAAAGCAGCAGGUUAAUACCCCGCUGUUCUGACGGUACCCAAAGAAUAAGCACCGGCUAACUUCGUG